CGCACACGGGCGCACGCAGGAGCGCGCACACGGAUGCGCAGGGGCGCACGGGGACGCCCACGGACGCGCACGGACACAAAGCGCACAGGCACACGGGCGCAGACAGACACACGCACCUCCCACGGAUGCGCACACACCUCGCACAGCCACUUCCUUCCAGGCUCUUUGGGGCCUGCGCUGGAAGUAAUACUCAGAUAACUGCAGCUCCCAGAGUUAUUAACCCCUUGUCCACACACACUAUACAAUGAAUUCCAGAAAAGGAAAACAAAAUCCUCUUUCAAAAGGGUGCCCUGUUCUGCUUGGAGCAGGAGAGCCAAGGGCCACGGGCUUGUCUUUCCCCGCCAAGCAGGGGUACUUGUUGCUGUGCUUUUCUCUUCUUGGUAUCUGGAAUGUUCCCCUGAGCCUGGAGAUUUAACAAGGAUUUUCCAGAAUUUACCACUUCAGAGAGAAGUUCUGAACAACCAAGGAAUAAAAGUGUUUUUAAGUUAUCAAGUGUCUGAAGAAUUCUGAAGUAGGAAAUGGUGGCAGGUUCUUUCCCACGUCCGCCGGAUCUUCAGCUGGACAUGAGGGAUUCCGGAGACGCUGCCCUCAGGCUCUCUUCCCCUCAGCUCACCGAGCGGCCUAUCUGGAGGGGAGCCUUUCAUUUCCGCUCCACCACUGCCAGUCCCACAAGGCUUUGUUUUCCAGCUUUACUUCGGAAAUGCCUCCCAGGGUCACGUCUUCCCUCGCGCUGGCUCUGCACCACAAAUCCAGGGUGGAACAAUGGCCACUGGAGCUGUGUCUGGCUGAGGACCUGCGGCUGCCCAGAGGAGGACACACUGACCUGGGGGUGCCCCCACCGCAGCUUCCCCGCGUGGAGGCACUAAAAUGAGCUGCAAAAAUAGAAACGUUAUCGCAAU